rnacentral:tRNA from 1 species
GCUCUGGUGGCUCAAUCGGAUAGAGCGUUGGACUUCUACUCCUAAGGUUGUGGGUUCAAGUCCCGCCCAGAAUA